UCCUUCUCCUAUACCCAUUGCAUAUCGGAGUUGUGAAUUCUCAAAACACCUCCUGUGUGCAUGGAUUACAGGAGGA
rfam:Ictidomys tridecemlineatus contig099260, whole genome shotgun sequence.